CGGUGUCCCUCUGAUAUGAAAAAAAAAAAAAAAAAACAUUGAAGCGUUCGAGAUAGCGAGAAAGUUCCGAAGCUUCAGCAGACGUGAACUAACGCCUGACUCUAGCCUCGUCGCUUUCUCUACCUCCGUCCGCCGCCCAGGUAAGGUCAUCCCAGCCACGUGCCGCCGCCUCGCUCCGCUGCUUCACAAGGCGCUCCACGCGUGCCACAGCCAGCCGGCGCUCCCUAUUGGCGGCCUGAAGACCCACGCACCCCAGCAACAAGGUGAAGGCUGUGCUCUGGCAGGUCGCUCCAGCUUGCCAUCAUAGGUGCUAGCCUGCCCUGAGCGCCCUCCUCUCUGCCUGUGACGCGCCGGGGGUGUCUGGCUGGAUGAGUGGUGACGCUGCAGUGACCUCGCAGACUGGCGGCGGCCCUCCCCUGCAAUACGUCCCCUGCAUUGCUGUAACAAAGCAGCCGCCGGUUAAUGAUCGAGAGGCUCCCAAAUAUAUAUAUUUUUAGUUUUUUUUAAUUUUUUUUUUGUUUUUAUUAUGUUUUUAAUAAAACUUUAUCACUAAGUUUGCCCAUAUCUGAAAAUGGUCGUGGUGUUUCUCCGGAGAGUCUUCCAGGAAAAGGCUCUCUAUGCAGGGUAAGAGGAACUAAGGGGGACGGGGAUGGACGCGAAAACCAAGAUGCCUUGAUGUUGAUGGGUUUAUCGCAGGCGAUGAGGAGAAGCAGAGGCAGCAGCAGGGCGGGGGCGAGGCCAGCUCCGGCAACACCGCCCUUGAGAUCCCACAGGGUGUUGGCUGCAAAAGAAAAAAAAACCUGAUAAACCUCUGCAAAGGGAUUGGGGAUAUGCUCUGCAAAGGAACAUUUGAGAUGCCAAAAGGAAACCUCUGCAAAGGGAUUGGGGAUGUGCUCUGCAAAGGAACAUUUGAGAUGCCUAAAGGAAACAAACGCUGAGCAAACA